UUUUUAAAAAAAAAAAAAAAGAAAAGGUGUACAAGAGAUCAAGACGAAAACCAAACCAAAGAAACCAAAAUAGGUCCAAGACCAUAAAUUUAAACCAUGACUUAAUAUAAAAAAACUAAGCAAAGCAGUUACUAAAGGCAAAAGAAAUAGAGGCACAAAGAUCUUGUGAAAUGGAGGCACAAGAUCCGGAAGAUAGGCAGCCCAUGAAUGCUUCUACUUCUUGAUAAUGAUCAAACCAUGUAAUCACAAGCUAGGAAAGUUCUCUCACAGGACUCUGCACAAAAGAAUCAACCUAAAAGGUUGAACUUGAGAGUUGUGUAUAAGGACCUACAAAUAAGUUUUAAUAGCUCUAAAACAAAAAACACUGCCCUGCCUUACCUUAUGUUGAAAUUUAGUAAUGAAAGGCGAGUGUCUAGGAUAUUCAAAUUCUAGACCUUCUGGUGGGAGAAACUAUAAUAUUGUGUCAUGGAACUCAACCUUGAGGUUCAUGAUCAUGCCAGCCAAAAAAGCAGCAGAGACAAUGAUAAAGCUCAACUCUUGCAAUCUUUAUCAGCUCCAAAUUCUAGCAGAACUCCUUGAAUCAAGAAAAGCUUCUAUUCCAGCUAAGACCUCCAUCAACAAUUGUCAUGAACACCAAUGUCCAUGGCUGGUGCCAUGAUCCUACAUGGUCCACUUUGCAAACAUAUACUUGGUUGAAGUUCUCUUUUGCUUUGUCCAUGAACAAAUAGAUGUUGUUCAAUUCUUCAAAAAUCUGGUCAUGGACUCAGCCAAUCUCUAUUCCUUAACAUUGCCACGUGCCCUUAAGAUACAAUUGUUGAUCUUCAUAUCCUCAAGAUAAUACAACCAAUUUCUAAAAUAUGGCCACAUCUCUUGAGAUAAGUCAACUCUGUUACUUGCGUGGCCAGUCAUAUGGCCAUGUGAUAUAUAUCCCUCUCUUAUUCUUAGUAAACACUGCCAAUUACAGCACAAAAAGCACCAUAUAGGUUGGCAGUAGUGUAGAGGUCGCUCAUUCCCUGCAGGGAUCUGCCCCAAAUCGGUAGGGAAUCCACAGUUUGUCUCUAUGAGAUAGGGCAUAGCCCCAAGCAGAGUGAUCCCUGAACAUGGGGACCCAAAUGUGCAAUGAGUAACCAUAGGGAUCCCCAUGAGACAUCGAUGGACCCAAAUAUCACAGGGGAAUAGGGAUCCCUACAGGGACAAAGACGGGAAAAUAUUUCUCCCAUUAGAGGGCAGGGACAAGGAUGAGGAAUUACUGUUGCCCCACCCUGUUGCCAUUCCCAGCAACAUUAUGGACCAUAUAUGAACUAUCAUGGGCAAACAAAUCAGACACUCAUACUUCAAAAGGGAAACAGAGCUUCAUCUGCCACAUAUGAAAUCAGCCGUCCACACUCCAAAACAAAUCAAAUAAUGUGUUUUCUAGCUAAUAUUGAGAUACUUGAGGUGCAAACAACUAUAGAAGCAAAAAGAAAUCCAUUGUACCAAAGAAAGCUAAAUCCAAAUUUCCCAAGGCAAAUUAAAAGCCUCUGCUUAAUUUUAUUAAGAAUUGUAGGUUUAAAGUCUCUCAUAAUGAUCUUACAAGUCCCGUUACAAGAAACUAAGACUUUUGAACCAUAGUUUAAAAUUAAUAUUUUCUGUUCAAGCAAAAGCAAAGUCCAAAGAUAUCUACAACAAAAUUAGAUCCAGGUACAAAGUUCCAAUCUUUACCAAUCCUAACUACAGUACCAUGAACAAUGUCUAUACACAGCCAAAUUAAUAUGCUUUAGGAAAUAGUGCCUGCUGGGCGCCAAGCUGACACUUCAAAAAAAAAAAAAAAGAAGCUCAGA
rnacentral:misc_RNA from 1 species